GUAAUCUUUCAAUCGCGCAGAGGCGAUCCCAGGACGUCAAAAGGGGCGGCAGAUCGGCUCUAAUUGGUGGAAGAGUUAACUGACUACGUUCUGUAAGCCAGCGGCCGAGUUUCGGCCGCGGCCGCUCACAGCUCGUCGGCGAGGUAUCAGUCCGCCUUCCUGGAAGUGCUGCUGGCGCCUGGUUCCGCCUCUGACGGUGACGCCGAGCCGCUGCCGCACCGCCUCACUGCCGGCGCAGUUUGCACCAAGUCACUGUGAUAGAAGGCCGUCCACAAAAGCCCUGCAAACAGUUUUAACAUGUCGCUCCGUGUAUCUUCCGUGGUGCUCCUGCUGGCUCUGGUGGCCGCGUGCAGCGCGCAGGCCUGCUCCGACAACCCCUGUGGCUCCGACGAAAUCUGUAUGCCGGUCGCCGACGGGCUCAGCUUCAAGUCCUCGUGCAUCAAGAUCGACUCGCGCUUCAAGACGGACUCGGCGCACGCGGGCAGCAGCUUCCCGCCUCAGGCGGGCGCCGGCUCCGGGGCCGGGUCCCUGGGCGCGGCACUGCUGGCUGUGACUGCCCUCGCUGCCGCCCUCCGCCUGCUCUGAGGAACAGAGAGUUGGCAAGGCCUCUAUGUGGAGUACAGAGAUGUGAGGCAGGGGUCUGGAAAGCCAGUGCAGCAGUUGGGACCGUUGGUUGUUGGUCACUGAGAGGGCAAGAACAGGGUGACUUGUUAGACUGAUGGAUGUUCGAGGUGCUUUAGGGGCGUCCGUUUUCUGUGGGCGAGCUUAAUUUGUCUUAGUGAUUGAGCACCGUUUGAUUUCACGAUUUAUCUUUGUCCCUGUAGUAGUCUCUACUUAUCGAUGGUUUUGAAAAGAAUAUAUAAUGGGGCAUUUUAUGUUGUACAAUCGUCCCUUUUCGAAGACAGUAGGCGUACUCGAAGUCCUUAUUCACAGCAUGCAUUGGAAUCUGUAUAUUAUGUAGGUGAGCUUGCCUGCUGGUUGCGCAUUGACUUAGCUAUCCAAGACAGUAUCCAAGGCAAACUUUUUUCCUUUUGAUAAUGAGCAAAUAGUGAUAUGUUGGGGAUAACUGCCAACAAUUUACGCUACUUCGUGAAUGGGUUAACGCCAUGGUUUUACCUUCUUUCUACGAUUCUUUGCAAGACGAAUAAUAUUUUGUUCUACAUACAUCAGUGUAUGAACAAAUUGAAGUAAGUUUGAAAUUUGACAAUACAACUGUUAAACAUUCAGGCCGACCUUAUAUCCGAGUAGUUGGUAAAUAAGAAGAAAACAAAAGGUGUGCGUCGUGGUGAGCCGAUAUACGCAUCAGGACAUUUGAUCUGCCCCCUCUUGUCUGAUGUUACAUAUAGUACGAUCACGUUUUCUGUCCUUCGGUCCAAUACAUAUGUCUUUGCAUCUA